rnacentral:rRNA from 1 species
AACGAACGCUGGCGGCAGGCUUAACACAUGCAAGUUGAACGGGAUUUGCGGAGUGCUUGCACUAUGCAAAGAGAGUAGCGCACUGGUGAGUAACGCGUAUGCAACCUACCUUUAACAGGGGGAUAACGGAGAGAAAUUUCCACUAAUACCCCAUAACAUCGAUCAAGGCAUCUUGAUUGGUUGAAAACUCCGGUGGUUAAAGAUGGGCAUGCGUUGUAUUAGGUAGUUGGUGAGGUAAUGGCUCACCAAGCCUACGAUACAUAGGGGGACUGAGAGGUUAGCCCCCCACACUGGUACUGAGACACGGACCAGACUCCUACGGGAGGCAGCAGUGAGGAAUAUUGGUCAAUGGGGGCAACCCUGAACCAGCCAUGCCGCGUGCAGGAAGACGGCUCUAUGAGUUGUAAACUGCUUUUAAACAGGGAUAAAGCACAGUAUGUAUACUGUGUUGAAGGUACUGUAAGAAUAAGGAUCGGCUAACUCCGUGCCAGCCGCCGCGGUAA